AGUGAACGCUGGCGGCGUGCCUAAUACAUGCAAGUCGAACGAAGUGGCGAACGGGUGAGUAAUACGUGAGUAACCUGCCCUCCUUUUGGGGAUAAGCCUUGGAAACGGGGUCUAAUACCGAAUAAAGGGGGAUGGGCUCGCGGCCUAUCAGCUUGUUGGUGGGGUGAUGGCCUACCAAGGCGGUGACGGGUAGCCGGCCUGAGAGGGUGACCGGCCACAUUGGGACUGAGUUACGGCCCAGACUCCUACGGGCGGCAGCUGUGGGGGAUAUUGCACAAUGGGCGACAGGCUGAUGCAGCGACGCCGCGUGGGGGAUGAAGGCUUUCGGGUUGUAAACCUCUUUCGCUCUCGAACGGGUAGGUGGAGAAGGAGCGCCGGCUAACUACGUGCCAGCAGCCGCGGUAAUUC
rnacentral:rRNA from 1 species